rnacentral:lncRNA from 1 species
AGAUGCAGAUAUUUGCACCCAACCAAUAGAUAGAAGCUGCUGACCCUUGUGGUUGAAUUAGGAAAAAGCUGGAAGAAGCUGAAGAGGAGGGCCACCCUGUAGGAGGGCCAGAAGUCUCAAUUAAUGUGGAACCCUAAGAUCUCUCAGGCACUGGCCCAACAGCCAGAUAGGAGCCUAUCAUGGCUGUCCUCUGAGUGACCCUACCAGCAGCUGACUGAGACAGAAGCAAAUACUGACACCUAAUCAUUAGACUGAUGCUGGGCACCACUAUGGUUGAAUUAAGGGAAAGAUUGAAGAAGCUGAAUGGGAGGAUGAGCCCAUAGGAAGACCAGCAGUCUCAACUAACUCAGACCACAGGGAGCUUCCAAAGACUGAGGUACCAACCAGGAGUAUACCAACCAGGAAAUCAACUUCAAACAAUCAGAAAUGACAAUGAAUCAUGAUGACUUUCCAAAAAUAUGGAGGAGAUCAAAGAAUAACAAAAUCAAAAGCACACUGAAUCAAGGAAAACUGAGCUGUCUGCAACUUCACAAGAAGACCUACCAGAUCCUGGACAUCUAUCUUCACUUAGAACUCACCAGAUCUCAGACUGAAAUUUGCAAGAGUCUGUUGAAAUCAUCCACCCUAUGACAGUGUGCACGUGUCUAUGUAGGCAUAGGUGCUAUAGCAGAAUAACUGAAGUGAUGCCAGACUCUCAAGGAGCCUGAUGUUACUUAUCUCCUGUCCAACUUACCCCAGUAAGCUUCAGUUGCAUUUGGUUGCUCAUUGUAUGCUCUCUCAUACUCCUAUCAAGGCCCCCCACAAAUAUAGACCAUCACGUAGAAACACAACUGAUACAAUGCAAAGAGCAAUGGAUCAUGGGAACUCAGUCCUAACAGAUACAUCUACAUCACAAUUAUUGCAUCCGUACUUCAAGGAACAUCUGGAAGAGAGUGGAAAUAAUACAUGAGUCAGAAUACCAGAACUGUCCUAUGAAACAGUUAAUGGCAAUGUCAGUGGAUUUGGAGUUACUACUGAAAAGUCUGAAGACAAACUAACAAAUUUCUCCAAAACAAAAAGUGAUUUUUGUAGUAUAUGCAACUGAUAUAUUUCCUGUGGCAAAUAAAGGAAAAUGCUAAGACAUUU